AUUGAACGCUGGCGGCAGGCCUAACACAUGCAAGUCGAGCGGAACGGCGGACGGGGGGGUAAUGCCUAGGGAUCAGCCUGGUAGUGAGGGAUAACGUCAGGAAACGGGCGCUAAUACAGCAUACUAUCAGAUGAGCCUAGGUCGGAUUAGAUAGUUGGUGGGGUAAAGGCCUACCAAGGCGACGAUCCGUAACUGGUCUGAGAGGAUGAUCAGUCACACUGGAACUGAUACACGGUCCAGACUCCUACGGGAGGCAGCAGUGGGGAAUAGUGGACAAUGGGCGAAAGCCUGAUCCAGCCAUGCCGCGUGUUUGAAGAAGGUCUUCGGAUUGUAAAGCACUUUAAGUUGGGAGGCGUUACCAACAGAAUAAGCACCGGCUAACUUCGUGCCAGCAGCCGCGGUAAUAC
rnacentral:rRNA from 1 species